AGAGGCCGUUCCCGCCGGCGGGAUCCAGUUCUAUGGAAGCAGCGGAUGCCCAGAUCUGACCGCAACCUCCUCGCUAGGGCGGUGCUUGACCCUGUCGAAGCACUAUGCGCUGCGGCCAACCCUUCCCACUCCCCGCCUCUGUCGGCCUCGUCGGGUACUCCACUACUCCUGCUACAGCAAGGUCGAUCAAGAGGUCAGUGAGGCCGUUAGAGGAGAGGCGUUGCUGUGUUGGUCUUCUUUCUCUCUCCUCUAGUACUCUCGCAUUCUUGCCUCUCCGAUUGAAUCUGGUUCCGAUGAUUUGAUCGGUUGCUGAUGAAUCUCUGUAAGUUUGGUCACUGCCUCAUACUUCAUGCGCCCAUGAGCUCGAGCUCCGUCCUGCCUCUGUCGAACAUGACCGCCUCCAUCCCCACUCGCGACAACCUAUUUUUGAUAGACUGAAAUUUGUUUGUAUUUCAGAAUGCAUCAGAAUAUUUCUUGUGCUAUGAGCUUGACAUCUAAACGGGUAUGGUAAGUUGUGGUAAGGCAAUUACUUGUCAAGUAAUCACUUGUGUCUGUUGUAAUGAGAGCAGAAGGAAACGACCAUGUUAUUUGAAAUUAAAAUGCUUUUGUUAAGGCCCUAUAAUAUUAGAACACUCAAUGUAUGUAUCUUUCUGAAAGUAUUGAGCAAAAUAUCAUUAGCUCAAUUUGCCGAGGGAACAGUUGAACAUUCAAUUAGUUUUGCUUUUUUUUGUUGUUGUUUAGAAAUUGUAAUAUCAUGUCUGAAGGUUAAAGUGCUUCUCAAUUAAUAUAGUGACCAUGUUUUUGUUUUCUUGCAAUUUUGUCUGCAUUUUUUAACAGCUUUGGGAAGGGUGCUCUCAGGUGAUGUUGUUCCUUAUGCUAGUAGUUCCAAUAUUCCAGCACACUGGUUGAUAUUACCUGUGUAUGCUUACUUUAGAAGUUCAGAUUUGUUGGUAUAACACCUUCUGCAUUCUCAUUUUGUUGUCAUUAUCAGCUCUAUGCAUCUUCUACCUCUACAUAUUUGCAGAAAGCUCCGACCUGUUUGAUACAGGAAGAGACUAUCAUCUCGUCUAGUCAAUCGGGCCUAGGAAGUUGUGGACAUCGUUGGCGUGUCCACCUCAUCAUUAUGCGUGCAUCCAUGUGCUGAUAGAGACAAUUGAAUCUCCUGGGGAAGUGCAGCAACAUCAAGGGUUGUGUCGUGAGUAAGCAGGUGGAGUGGCCAUGGAAACGCCGUGGAUGCUUAUUGUCACCGACGAGGACAACCACAACCACACACAGUCGCUCGAUUUGUUGGCACUCGCCGCAAAUUCGGACGCUUGACUGAAGCUGCCAAUGACAGAAGAAGAUAGUAGAACUUGAAUUUUUAUGCCAUUGAUGGAACAUAUCAUUUAGCUGCUCUUUCGUUAUUCAAUCAUACAAAAGAUCAGAAUGCAAGUAAAAUUUGUAACAUGAAGGCAAAGAUUUGAUCGACAUCUUUUUCACGAUGUAUCUUGAUACUUGAUUAGGGUUCAGUACAUUUACCUUC